rnacentral:rRNA from 1 species
GAUGAACGCUGGCGGCGUGCCUAAUACAUGCAAGUCGAGCGAACGGACGAGAAGCUUGCUUCUCUGAUGUUAGCGGCGGACGGGUGAGUAACACGUGGAUAACCUACCUAUAAGACUGGGAUAACUUCGGGAAACCGGAGCUAAUACCGGAUAAUAUUUUGAACCGCAUGGUUCAAAAGUGAAAGACGGUCUUGCUGUCACUUAUAGCUGGAUCCGCGCUGCAUUAGCUAGUUGGUAAGGUAACGGCUUACCAAGGCAACGAUGCAUAGCCGACCUGAGAGGGUGAUCGGCCACACUGGAACUUAGACACGGUCCAGACUCCUACGGGAGGCAGCAGUAGGGAAUCUUCCGCAAUGGGCGAAAGCCUGACGGAGCAACGCCGCGUGAGUGAUGAAGGUCUUCGGAUCGUAAAACUCUGUUAUUAGGGAAGAACAUAUGUGUAAGUAACUGUGCACAUCUUGACGGUACCUAAUCAGAAAGCCACGGCUAACUACGUG